GACGAACGCUGGCGGCGUGCUUAACACAUGCAAGUCGAACGGAAAGGCCCUGCUUUUGUGGGGUGCUCGAGUGGCGAACGGGUGAGUAACACGUGAGUAACCUGCCCUUUACUUUGGGAUAACUUCAGGAAACUGGGGCUAAUACCGGAUAUGAGCUCCUGCUGCAUGGUGGGGGUUGGAAAGUUUCGGCGGUUGGGGAUGGACUCGCGGCUUAUCAGCUUGUUGGUGGGGUAGUUGCUUACCAAGGCUUUGACGGGUAGCCGGCCUGAGAGGGUGACCGGCCACAAUGGGACUGAGAUACGGCACAGAAUGCAACGGGAGGGAGCAGGGGGGAAUAGUGAACAAUGGGAGGAAGCCUGAUGCAGCAACGCCGCGUGCGGGAUGACGGCCGUCGGGUUGUAAACCGAUUUCGCCUGUGACGAAGCGUGAGUGACGGUAAUGGGUAAAGAAGCACCGGCUAACUACGUG
rnacentral:rRNA from 1 species